GAGUUUGAUCUUGGCUCAGAGCGAACGCCGGCGGCAGGCCUAACACAUGCAAGUCGAGCGGCCGUAGCAAUACGGCAGCGGCAGACGGGAGAGUAACACGUGGGAACGCGCCCUUCGGUUCGGGAUAACCCAGGGAAACUUGGGCUAAUACCGGAUACGCCCUUACGGGGAAAGAUUUAUUGCCGAAGGAACGGCCCGCGUCCGAAUUAGCUAGUUGGUGAGGUAAUGGCUCACCAAAGGCGACGAUCGGUAGCUGGUCUGAGAGGAUGACCAGCCUCACUGGGACUGAGACACGGCCCAGACUCCUACGGGAGGCAGCAGUGGGGAAUAUUGGACAAUGGGCGCAAGCCUGAUCCAGCCAUGCCGCGUGGGUGAUGAAGGCCCUAGGGUUGUAAAGCCCUUUCAGCGGGGAAGAU
rnacentral:rRNA from 1 species